rnacentral:rRNA from 1 species
AGUGAACGCUGGCGGUAGGCCUAACACAUGCAAGUCGAACGGCAGCACAGUAAGAGCUUGCUCUUACGGGUGGCGAGUGGCGGACGGGUGAGGAAUACAUCGGAAUCUACUUUUUCGUGGGGAAUAACGUAGGGAAACUUACGCUAAUACCGCAUACGACCUACGGGUGAAAGCAGGGGAUCUUCGGACCUUGCGCGAUUGAAUGAGCCGAUGUCGGAUUAGCUAGUAGGCGGGGUAAAGGCCCACCAAGGCGACGAUCCGUAGCUGGUCUGAGAGGAUGAUCAGCCACACUGGAACUGAGACACGGUCCAGACUCCUACGGGAGGCAGCAGUGGGGAAUAUUGGACAAUGGGCGCAAGCCUGAUCCAGCCAUACCGCGUGGGUGAAGAAGGCCUUCGGGUUGUAAAGCCCUUUUGUUGGGAAAGAAAAGCAGCAGGUUAAUACCCCGCUGUUCUGACGGUACCCAAAGAAUAAGCACCGGCUAACUUCGUG